rnacentral:rRNA from 1 species
AUGUUCGACGUCUGGCGCUACAGGGAGUCUGGGAGAGGACAAGGCCGACACCCCGACACCCUACACAACCCUAGCUCACUCCUCCCCUUCUCCACGCUCGAUCCACUCGAUCCCGAGCUCGGUCAUCACCAUGUCGUCGUCGAUGCCGCGGCCACCGCGCUCCUCGCGCCGCAAGAAGAUGCCCAGAAGAACCGCCACGGUCCACUUCGUCCUUCCCGAGCACAAAACUGA